CCGGCCGCCCGCGGCCUGCGCGGCCCUUUUUGUGUUACCGCGGCUCGGGAAAGGAGCCGGGCUCGCCGCCGCGCCGCCUCCGCCUUCCCUUCCUCGCCCGGUACUCGCGGGGAUUCGGUGCAGCGGGGGCCCCGUCCAUGUGAGGCGAGCGGAGAGGAGAGGUGCCGCCGAGGCCUAGUCGGCCGUGGUCGCGGUAGUGGUUGGGCCGGCGCCUGUGGUGUCCCUCAUGGCCAGGCGGGGAGCGGCCCAGCCGGGCCACACGCUGGGUCUCCGCCGGCAGCCGGGAGCUGCUGUAAUGGAGGGUUUCUCCCGUCCUGGCGCGGCCCCGCCGUGUCCCCCCCAGCCCCGCGGCCCGGACCAGAGCUUCCUGCCCUGUCGCCGCCGCCCGGUCGCGGCGCUUUGCCCCGGGGCUCCGGGGAGGUGGCGAGCUGCUUCCCUCUUACUGGCAGGACCUGCUGUGUCUUCUGCUUCGGCCGAGCCUUGGGUAUCUGAUUCACCUCUUCAAAGGGCUUAGGAAUGGCUCUUUGCUCCUCUUCCCUUUCAUAACGCUUAAAGGCUGCACCUGAGCACCCUCAUCUGCUCCAACUGCUCAACCCUGUUCUCUGCUGGGAUCAUUGGGCUCAUCUCAGCCCCGGAGCCAAAGCUCUUGAUUGUCUCCUAACACAGCCAGACACUGCUAGCUUCAAACGAGUCAACAGAGGUGAACCUGCACUUUAUAUGAAGUUUUAGACAAACGCUGCAAGUGCCUAGCUGAUGACGAAACAUUAGACAGUAAGCAAACAUACUAGCUAUAGCAAUGUGGGAUUGGAGCUGCUGUCUGCCACGGCUAAACCAGAAUGAGAAAAUCUGUGUUGGUGCAAGGUUACUGCUUAGCUGCAGUAGCACAAAGUUGGAAUUAAUGGAGGCUUUUGUUUUCAUUUUAUUGUGAAACAGUUACGACAUUUCCCCUCUGAGGUUUUUGCAUCCUUAAAGAAAGCACGGUGUGUAAAUGAUUUCUGUGUCCCAAGGAACCUCUGAGUGCUUGGGGAGAGGAUGCACAGUAGAAAAGCUUGGCUUGUUGCUGGCACUGGGGUGCCCUUUGGGGCUCUGAGGCCUGUUUUACAGUAGCUUUCAGGACAGCUCUGGGCAAGUCACUUGAAGGAGACUGUGGGAAAUAGUUGUAGUUAUUCUAAGGAGCUUGGGAGUUUGCAGAGCAGACUGGUCUGAAAGAGGAAAAGGAUACGGGGUGUGGCUGGAGCAAUCUGAGACACAGCCAUGCCUUGGGAAAAAUGCUGUGCUGACCUUAUGGGCACCAUUGUUAAUUUCUGUGUUAGUAUCACAGCAACACCCGGGAGGGGAGGAGUUUGGCCUUCAGGCUGGGUCUGUGUGGGAAGAGCAGUUUGGGAGUGGUGUAUCCCUUCUCCAUGUAAUCCAGCCCAGUUGCAUGGAAAGGCACGGAGGCACAGGAGCCAGCUUUUUUUGGGUGCUUCUCCUUCCUGUGCAGCCGGGCGCUGUAGUCGCUUCUGCCACAAAUCAGAGGGCAGCUGCUGUGGGGGGGCAGUGGGGUGGCCCCCGGGACACUGCUGUGCCGGCGCUUUUUCAGGAUUGGGUUCUGCCUUGUGCACAACAAAGAGAAAACUCUUCUUGGUUUGCCACUGGACCUGUCUUUGUGGUAGCAGAGAUGGCUCUGGAUUUCCCAACAGAGCAGCUGAGGCUGCUUUUUUAUCUUUUGGAAACUGAGAGGCAAAGCCAGAGGGAAGAACUUGGCCAGGGAGAGGUGGCUUGUGCAAGUGCGCUUUGGGGAAAGAAAAGGGAGCAGAGAAGAGCAGAGCAAGGAGCAGUGAGACUACAAAGCAAAGUAACUCCUGGUGGUAACCAGCGGGAGCUGCAGCGGUGUAGGAGAGCCUCAGCCUGCCUACAGCCUGCCCACCUGUGAAAGCCUGAUCUUCCUUUACAUCUAGAAGUAAUAGAUUACUUCAAAAUUAGCCUUCUUCCUUUUCCCAGUAACCACGUCUUUCAUUCUGCAGAGCUUUUUCUGUUCCUAUGAGCUUGCCUGGCUGUAAACAGCAUGCUGUACACUAUGUAAUGAUGCAGGAAAUUUUCUGUUGUAAACACCUUACCAGCAGGACAGCAGGGGUGUUUUAUUGGCCCAACUAGCCAGGCUGGCAGGAGUUAAACUGGUUCAGUUGUUUAUUUACACGUGUACGCAGCAAGCAGUUAGUGCAUUAGAGGGUGUAAAUGAGUAACUUGGAAAAAAUCACAGAAUCAUGUUUGAGCAGGAUUGCCUUUCCUCAAUUACUGAUUUGUCUAAGUAUUUUUCUGUGAAAAGUUCCUGAUUUGCCUCAGUCUUUUUGUUUAGAGCAGUCAGAAAUCAAUAACAAAUAUCUGCUCAGAAAUUAAUAAUAAAUAGCUGCUUAAAGACUUCAAAUUUUGCCACACAUGAAGCGGGAAAAAUACAACAACGUUAAGACUUUGCCCUUUUAAUGUCUUUAAUCUGAAGAUCUCAGAAGUUUGUCUGUUAAGAAUUCCACCAACUGACGGCCAUCCGUGACUGUUACAGUUGGGCAAUUCAGGCAUUUAUGAUGCCUGAUUGUAAGAGGGUAAGGUCACAAAGGCAGCCUGUGUCAGACACACAUGGUGACUAUAAACAUUUUAAACUCAUGGGACAAAACUGGUAUCUUGCUGUGUGUGCAGCGCAUAGCUGAGCUCUUACAGCAGUCAAAGUCCAUAAGCUUUACUGCAGUGAAAAGAAAAAUAUAUUCUGUCGAGUAAUAAUAAAAUUACAGUGAUGUCAAAUAAAACAAAACACUGCUAACAGAAUGAUGAACUCUUUCUGUGUCUGACAAGUCACGUUCUUACAGAAUCAGUUCAUGUCUGAAUUUUUCAUGAGUGGGGACCAGCCUUAUAGCCUCCUAGUUCAAUUUUCAUGAGGAUUUAAAAAGCAAACAAAUGUUCCUGGCAAGAAAAAAUUUGCACCAUACUAAGUAAAAGAAUUACUGAAAACGAGACAAGAACAGGUAAGGUAUGUCAGCGUCCUCGAGGCCAAUUCUUGCCUUUUUUUAUCUGUGCCUUUGUUGUAAAUUAUAGGUACGCCCAUUAACAUCUCAAACAGAACUAGAAAAUGAAGGCCAACUUGCUGAAUUGCUUUGUGGGGUGUUUGAUGCAGUGCUCGGGGUGCUGCAGCAGGUUCCUUGCGCUCUGCCUGGUUCCAGCGCUCUGCUGUCGCUGCAGCGAGGGCUGCGUCGCGGUGCCAGCCGCUGGGGUGCUGCCAGCAUCCCCCUCCCUGGCCAGGGCAGCGCUGCGCCGGGCCAGAGGCUGGGUGGCUUCUGAGAGCCCUGCCCGCCUCUGCUUCCUCGGAGCAGUGCAGCUGCCUUGGCACUGAUGCAGGGAGUAACAGUAAUUUUUCCCUCUUUCAGGAACUGCGUGAGACCAGGAGUUAAAACCAAGGCUGGGCCUGGCAGGAGGGAGAGCAGAGGAGAGUCAGAGGAUGCAGUGCAGCCUUUGGAAGGAUGGUGUGUACAGAGCCAUCGAUGGCCUCACCUCCCCUCUGUGUGAGCAUCCCUUCCUAUCUUUUAAACAUAGCAGCAGUCGACUGAAGAAACCAAUGGUCCAAGACACAAAGGAUUCACACCGAUAAAUCAUCAACUUCAGAGGUGGGAAAGGAGCAGCGUUGCUUUGGGAUGGACUGGCCAGCAGCACCCUUCACAGCUACAACAGAGAAAGUGGGUUUUCAGGCCUGGGACUAGGGCUGGAUCCAGCGCCCGGCGCGAUGAGGCCCUUGGUUCCGACCCGAAGGAACCCUCCAAAUCUCAACAUCGCAAGAAACAGAAAAAGGAUUUUUAGAAUACACCAACUUCGUCCCGCAGCACAAGUGAAUGACCUUCAAACAACUUGAGGCAGGUUGAAUUUACAUUUUACUUCAAAAAAAAGGGGAAGUACAUACAUGAGGGGAGAAUGGGGUGAACAACAAUUAUCUGAAACCAGGUUUCUACCAUUUUUACGUACAGUUACCAACUGCGUUGGAGUCGGCCGGGCUCGUGCCGGCUGUCGCACGCUUCCUUACAAUAUGAACAGGAUCGUGGACCAAGGAAAGGUUUUUCAAAGUUGAGGUCCAAAUGGAAAUAGUAAGAUAUCAUACACAGUGUAAGUUUAUAGUACACAGCAUUGUUUGUUUUUUUUAAAUGACAUAACGCAACAGCAGGAAGGAGUAGUAGUAGUUAACAGUUACUAACACUAGAAUAAUCAAAUUUGUAUGUUAUACAUAUACAGCAACUAACUGCUUUACAAAAAAAGCAAAAUAAUACAAUAUAUUGUCACAUGUAUUUACAGUGUAGUAAAUAUACUUUUCUGUCAAAUUUUACACAAAAACUAUUUACAGGUGAAUAUACUGCAUUAAAAAAAAAAAAAUUGUGGGACCAACACUAAAAGUGACUUUCUGUGGUAAGUUUGUUGCAUAACAAUAAGACGUGCUUCAUUACAUUUGAAAAAAAAAAAAAUUAACCUUAAAAUGAAACAGAAAAAGCCCUAAAACCUACAACCCAGUUAGGAAUAGAGCCCUGGAACGCUCCCAGGUGCUCAGUCCACAAUACUUAUUUGAAAUGUUUCCUGUUCUUGGAAACCUCAUGCACAUUAAAGCAGAAACAUUGGCAUAAUUAACAGGUCGGUUAUGCACUAUUCAAAUACUACUGAAUUAUUUUUAAGUCAGGGAAAAUACAAACACAAACAAAAUGUUAAUCAUCUUUACAGUACUUAACUGUAGUUAGUGCGUAAUGGAGAACGUGUUCUAAAACAGGGGUGUCAAACGUACAGUCCCCAAGAUGUAGUUGUAUGGUCCACAUGUUAAAAAUCAGAUUUUUCUGACUCUAAGUGUUUGUUUCAAAGCAGGCAGAGGCCAGGGCUGCAGCAGCCCUCGCAGCAGCCACGGCCCAGCAGUCUGCAGGCUGCCUCAGCAGCGAGCCACGGCCGGAGCUCGGAGAUCUGUCUCCCGCUCGUUAAAUCAGGUUUCCAUCCCACACGGUCACCAGCACCCACCUGCCAUCGCUACGGGCAUCCCUGGGAUGAGAGGGGAGGGAGGGAAGGGGCUGGGAUGAGAGUGAUGCUCAGGGGAACCAAACGCAGCAGGUGGAGAAUAUUCAAAAUAUUCAAAACGGGAGAAGGGAACAAAUAGAGAGGAUGUGAGAAAGAAAAUAAAAAGGCAAAGUAACAGCGCUGGCUGUUACAGGGAGCAGGCCAAGUGAUGGACGUGAAAGUAAGGCACUGAGAAACUAAUUACUAAUAGAAGUUUAAUCAUUAAAGAAAGGCCAUGUUUUCCCCCUUGAUGUAAGCGCAAGCUUCCCCACUACUGGGAGAUAACGACCCUGCGUAUCGGGGCACACGUGACCCUGAAUUAAACCUUGGCCAUGGACUGUAAUUACACCCAAAUCCAGCCCCCAUGACCCAACAUGUUUGACACCCCUGCUCUAAAAAAGUUUGGGUCCUUUUCACUGAACCACGCAGUGAAAACAUUAAAUUACUCCCCUUCCUUCCAGCAAAUACAAUAAAUUAAAUUUUGUUGACUUACUUUAUGAGA